GAUGAACGCUGGCGGCGUGCCUAAUACAUGCAAGUCGAGCGAACAGACGAGGAGCUUGCUCCUCUGACGUUAGCGGCGGACGGGUGAGUAACACGUGGAUAACCUACCUAUAAGACUGGGAUAACUUCGGGAAACCGGAGCUAAUACCGGAUAAUAUAUUGAACCGCAUGGUUCAAUAGUGAAAGUCGGUUUUGCUGUCACUUAUAGAUGGAUCCGCGUCGCAUUAGCUAGUUGGUAAGGUAACGGCUUACCAAGGCGACGAUGCGUAGCCGAACUGAGGGGGUGAUCGGCCACACUGGAACUGAGACACGGUCCAGGCUCCUACGGGAGGCAGCAGUAGGGAAUCUUCCGCAAAGGGCGAAAGCCUGACGGAGCAACGCCGCGUGAGUGAUGAAGGUCUUCGGAUCGUAAAACUCUGUUAUUAGGGAAGAACAAAUGUGUAAGUAACUAUGCACGUCUUGACGGUACCUAAUCAGAAAGCCACGGCUAACUACGUG
rnacentral:rRNA from 1 species